rnacentral:lncRNA from 1 species
UGGUGCAAGAUUAUAAAACAGGAUAACUCCAAGUUAGUGGUUCAUCGAUACAAAUGUACCGACAUAGCAUAAUAUUUUUCUAGUACAUCAAGGGCAGCCUCACAUGCCACGGCACGAGUUCCGGACAACAAAACACAUAAAGAAGGUCAAAACAGCUCCGAUACUCAGAUCAUACAGGUUCUCGUCAUACAUAUAUCCUGGAACCAGAAUGGUGAAACCCACCCAGGCAUAUUAUUAACGGCGUCCACACACCAACGCUAAAUCUCUAGCAUACAUGAGCACGAUCGGACCUUGAAGGUACAUCAUCAAUCGGCCUAUUAAUCAAGCAGGGACACCCGUUUGAGAGCACGCUCGAAUCUUGAAGGCACAUCAUCAUCGUCAUCAGAAGAAUAAUCAGGAAACAGUAGCUUUUGAGAGGAAGUCGGGCACUUUCCUUCAAUACAGGAUCUGCAGACUAUAUCGCC